UACGUAGGGGGCAAGCGUUGUCCGGAUUUAUUGGGCGUAAAGAGCGUGUAGGCGGCCUGCCAGGUCCGUUGUGAAAACUCGAGGCUCAACCUCGAGAUGUCGAUGGAAACCGUCUGGCUAGAGUCCGGAAGAGGAGUGUGGAAUUCCUGGUGUAGCGGUGAAAUGCGCAGAUAUCAGGAAGAACACCUAUGGCGAAGGCAGCACUCUGGGACGGUACUGACGCUGAGACGCGAAAGCGUGGGGAGCGAACAGG
rnacentral:rRNA from 1 species